UAAACAAGAUGAGCCCCACCUGAGGGGAAUCAGAUAAUUUCAAAUGUAGAAGGCAGUAGGAAGGUGGUGGGGUAGUUGAGAGAAGCUCAGGAAUUAGGAGAUACUAACACCAAAAUGAAGCAGGAAUGAACUCCACUCAGAUGGAGCAGUCUGACAGUGGAAGAGCUCUGGAUGUGGCUGAAGAAUGGGAAUGUUUUGGAGAGUGAAAACUGAGAGGGAGUGAAAUCAUGCAGGAAGAAGGUAUGCUGCAAUGCAACAGAAAAAGAAAUGAAAGGCCAAAAGAACUGCAAUAAAUGUGCCUGGAUUUCAGGGGAGGGUGUUACCCUGGCCAAAUCGUCUUCCAUCCCUGGAUUGUGAAGAUGGAUCUACCCAAACUCCAGACUCCUCCAGCCGAGGGCCACAAACAGUGAAUGGCGUUGCAAAGGACGGGGAGGAGUGAAGUGGCUAUUGUAGGAGCACAUUCCUUAUUGGAUGCUCACACCACAAGCAGAGGACUGAGUUUGCCAAGGCAUUCUAGGAUGUGUGAGUCUUACUUUAUAUAGUCAGAUAUUGUUGAUUGACUAUUGCAGGCUUUUCCAAACUUCUUAUGUGUUCCAUUGCUACUCCAAACAGUGUAAACUCUUCCAGUGUGUGCUGCCUGCUGCAGCAUAUACCUAAGGUCUUUGGUCAGCCAGCAAAUGAUAAGUGGGGAGGAGUUCUAUUUGCAGCCAUGGAGCUCCAACAGACUAAUUAGGCUUCUCCAGCAGCUUUGUACUCAAGGGGGCACUGGGCUGGAAUGCUGCCCAGCUGGUCUGCAAGUUCACAGGAGGAGUCAUCAUCCACACUUCACCCAUGCAACACUAGGCAAGAUUUAAUCCUUAAUCAACCAUUUCAGAGGACAGCAUCAGUACUGUCAUAGUUUAAUUACAACCUUGUUUUAGAAAAAGUUCACAAACCCCUUGAGUUCUUUUUGGUUGGACAAUGCAAAUAAAAGGAAGAAAAAAAUCAAUGUAAUGUAGUUGAUGGUUUAGUGUGCAUAUUACUUAAUCACGGUU